UACGGAGGAUGCGAGCGUUAUCCGGAUUUAUUGGGUUUAAAGGGUGCGUAGGCGGACGCUUAAGUCAGCGGUAAAAUUGCGGGGCUCAACCUCGUCGAGCCGUUGAAACUGGGUGUCUUGAGUGGGCGAGAAGUACGCGGAAUGCGUGGUGUAGCGGUGAAAUGCAUAAAUAUCACGCAGAACUCCGAUUGCGAAGGCAGCGUACCGGCGCCCAACUGACGCUGAAGCACGAAGGCGUGGGUAUCGAACAGG
rnacentral:rRNA from 1 species